rnacentral:rRNA from 1 species
GUGGGGAAUAUUGGACAAUGGGCGAAAGCCUGAUCCAGCAAUGCCGCGUGGAUGAAGAAGGUCUUCGGAUUGUAAAGUCCUUUCGGCGGGGACGAUGAUGACGGUACCCGCAGAAGAAGCCCCGGCUAACUUCGUGCCAGCAGCCGCGGUAAUACGAAGGGGGCUAGCGUUGCUCGGAAUUACUGGGCGUAAAGGGCGCGUAGGCGGACCACUCAGUCAGGCGUGAAAGCCCCGGGCUCAACCUGGGAACUGCGCUUGAGACUUGUGGUCUUGAGGGCGAGAGAGGGUGGUGGAAUUCCCAGUGUAGAGGUGAAAUUCGUAGAUAUUGGGAAGAACACCGGUGGCGAAGGCGGCCACCUGGCUCGCAUCUGACGCUGAGGCGCGAAAGCGUGGGGAGCAAACAGGAUUAGAAACCCCAGUAGUCC